CUCGUAGGCGGUUUGUCGCGUCGGGAGUGAAAACCAGGUGCUUAACACCUGGCUUGCUUUCGAUACGGGCAGACUAGAGGUAUGCAGGGGAGAACGGAAUUCCUGGUGUAGCGGUGAAAUGCGCAGAUAUCAGGAGGAACACCGGUGGCGAAGGCGGUUCUCUGGGCAUGACCUGACGCUGAGGAGCGAAAGUGUGGGGAGCGAACAGGAUUAGAUACCCUGGUAGUCCACACCGUAAACGUUGGGCGCUAGGUGUGGGGUCCAUUCCACGGAUUCCGUGCCGCAGCUAACGCAUUAAGCGCCCCGCCUGGGGAGUACGGCCGCAAGGCUAAA
rnacentral:rRNA from 1 species